UGGGGAAUUUUGCACAAUGGGGGAAACCCUGAUGCAGCGACGCCGCGUGAUUUAGAAGGCCUUUGGGUUGUAAAAAUCUUUUCUAUGGGAAGAAAAUGACAGUACCAUAGGAAUAAGGACCGGCUAAUUACGUGCCAGCAGCCGCGGUAAUACGUAAGGUCCGAGCGUUGUCCGGAAUCAUUGGGCGUAAAGGGUACGUAGGCGGGUAAGCAAGUUAGAAGUGAAAUCCUAUAGCUCAACUAUAGUAAGCUUUUAAAACUGCUCAUCUUGAGGUAUGGAAGGGAAAGUGGAAUUCCUAGUGUAGCGGUGAAAUGCGCAGAUAUUAGGAGGAAUACCGGUGGCGAAGGCGGCUUUCUGGCCAUAACCUGACGCUGAGGUACGAAAGCGUGGGUAGCAAACAGG
rnacentral:rRNA from 1 species